rnacentral:rRNA from 1 species
UACAGAGGUCUCAAGCGUUGUUCGGAUUCAUUGGGCGUAAAGGGUGUGUAGGUGGCGCCGUAAGUCGGGUGUGAAAUCUCGGGGCUUAACUCCGAAACUGCAUUCGAUACUGCCGUGCUUGAGGACUGGAGAGGAGACUGGAAUUUACGGUGUAGCGGUGAAAUGCGUAGAUAUCGUAAGGAAGACCAGUGGCGAAGGCGGCUCACUGGCCCGAUACUGACGCUGAGGCACGAAAGCGUGGGGAGCAAACAGG